UAAGGAAUAUUGGACAAUGGAGGCAACUCUGAUCCAGCCAUGCCGCGUGAAGGAAUAAGGCCCUAUGGGUUGUAAACUUCUUUUAGACGGGACAAAACCCCUUUACGUGUAAAGGGUUGAUGGUACUGUCAGAAUAAGCAUCGGCUAACUCCGUGCCAGCAGCCGCGGUAAUACGGAGGGUGCAAGCGUUAUCCGGAUUCACUGGGUUUAAAGGGUGCGUAGGUGGGCAGAUAAGUCAGUGGUGAAAUCUUCCGGCUUAACCGGGAAACUGCCGUUGAUACUAUUUGUCUUGAAUAUUGCGGAGGUAAGUGGAAUAUGUCAUGUAGCGGUGAAAUGCUUAGAUAUGACAUAGAACACCAAUUGCGAAGGCAGCUUACUACACAAUCAUUGACACUGAGGCACGAAAGCGUGGGUAGCGAACA
rnacentral:rRNA from 1 species